rnacentral:rRNA from 1 species
GACGAACGCUGGCGGCGUGCCUAACACAUGCAAGUCGAACGGAGAUUAUUGAUGAAGCUUGCGAUUUAAUAAUCUUAGUGGCGGACGGGUGAGUAACGCGUGGGUAACCUGCCCAUAAGAGGGGGAUAACAGCUGGAAACGGCUGCUAAUACCGCAUACGCUUUCCGGGACACAAGUGCCGGAAAGGAAAGAUGGCCUCUACAUGUAAGCUAUCACUUAUGGAUGGACCCGCGUCUGAUUAGCUAGUUGGUGGGUAGAAGCCUACCAAGGCGACGAUCAGUAGCCGGCCUGAGAGGGUGGACGGCCACACUGGGACUGAGACACGGCCCAGACUCCUACGGGAGGCAGCAGUGGGGGAUAUUGGGCAAUGGGGGAAACCCUGACCCAGCAACGCCGCGUGAAGGACGAAGGCCUUCGGUUGUAACUUCUUUGAUCAGGGACGAACAAAUAGACGGUACCUGAGGAACAAGCCACGGCGUAACUACGUUGCCAGCAGCCGCGGGAAGUACCGU